GUGCUCCGCUCGCGGGGACUGGCCUCCUUCGGCAGCUGGAGGCGGUCACUCGCGCUGGGCUAGGAGCUGAGGCGACAAGGGCCAUGCGGACGGCGAGGGAGUCCAGAGCCUUGAGCCCGGUGCUCCUCCCUUGCGCAGCGGUGGCUCUGCGGCCGCUGGAGUAAACACUGCCUUUGUUCCCUAGCGCCUUGUCUUUCGUCGCCCCGUCCCCUCACGCCGCCGGGCUCCGGCCGGCCCGCCCUCGGUCCUUGAACCCCAUUUCGGCUCGUGCCGCGCGGAUGCGGCUGCCGGGCCUGGGUUUGGGUAUUGAGCGGGAGGAGGAGAAGGAGCGGCGGCGCCUGGGCGGCAUGCGAUGGGGAACUGCUGCUGGACGCAGUGCUACGGACUGCUCCGCAAGGAAGCGGGGCGGCUGCAGCGAGUAGGCGGCGGCGGAGGAUCCAAGUAUUUUAGAACAUGCUCAAGAGGUGAGCACUUAACAAUAGAGUUUGAGAAUCUAGUAGAAAGUGAUGAAGGGGAGAGCCCAGGAAGCAAUCAUAGGCCUCUUACUGAGGAAGAAAUUGUUGACCUAAGAGAAAGGCAUUAUGAUUCCAUUGCCGAAAAACAAAAAGAUCUUGAUAAGAAAAUUCAAAAAGAGUUAGCCUUACAAGAAGAGAAGUUAAGACUAGAAGAAGAAGCUUUAUACGCUGCACAGCGUGAAGCAGCCAGGGCAGCAAAGCAGCGAAAGCUCUUGGAGCAAGAAAGGCAGAGAAUUGUGCAGCAAUAUCAUCCUUCCAGCAAUGGAGAAUAUCAAAGGUAAAUAGUGAAACAUAUGCCUCCUUCCUUUUGUGGUAGAACAUUUUAUUGCCGUGUAGAGCAUCGUUCACUUCAAGAUGUGUAUAUACGUUUUCAUGUUUAUGUGUUCCCUAAAAAUUAUUCCUUCUAAAAGACAUUGUCUUGGAAGAAUACUGAGAGCAUUUAAGUUGAAACAUGAUUAUUAUUCAUUUAAACUGACUUUAUUGCAUUUUUAAGAGUGGUCUCAUUUCCCAUAUAGAUGUGAUACAAUAGCUG
rnacentral:sRNA from 1 species